CACGUAGGGCGCAAGCGUUGUCCGGAAUUACUGGGCGUAAAGCGCGCGCAGGCGGUCUUCCAAGUCAGUGGUGAAAGCCCGGAGCUCAACUCCGGAACUGCCAUUGAAACUGUAAGACUUGAGGAUGAGAGAGGUGAGUGGAAUUCCCAGUGUAGAGGUGAAAUUCGUAGAUAUUGGGAAGAACACCGGUGGCGAAGGCGGCUCACUGGCUCAUAUCUGACGCUCAGGCGCGACAGCGUGGGGAUCAAACAGG
rnacentral:rRNA from 1 species